UAACUUGCGCAGUGGCAGUAUCGUCACCAAUGACGUUAAUCCGAGGCACGAUGAUUGCUAGUUGAAAACAUUUCUAU